rnacentral:rRNA from 1 species
UACGUAGGGGGCAAGCGUUGUCCGGAAUCAUUGGGCGUAAAGAGCGUGUAGGCGGCUCGAUAAGUCUGCUGUGAAAGUCCAGGGCUCAACCCUGGAAGGCCGGUGGAAACUGUCAGGCUAGAGUCCGGAAGAGGCGAGUGGAAUUCCCGGUGUAGCGGUGAAAUGCGCAGAUAUCGGGAGGAACACCAAUGGCGAAGGCAGCUCGCUGGGACGGUACUGACGCUGAGACGCGAAAGCGUGGGGAGCGAACAGG